rnacentral:rRNA from 1 species
CUGGUCUGAGAGGAUGAUCAGUCACACUGGAACUGAGACACGGUCCAGACUCCUACGGGAGGCAGCAGUGGGGAAUAUUGGACAAUGGGCGAAAGCCUGAUCCAGCCAUGCCGCGUGUGUGAAGAAGGUCUUCGGAUUGUAAAGCACUUUAAGUUGGGAGGAAGGGCAUUAACCUAAUACGUUAGUGUUUUGACGUUACCGACAGAAUAAGCACCGGCUAACUCUGUGCCAGCAGCCGCGGUAAUACAGAGGGUGCAAGCGUUAAUCGGAAUUACUGGGCGUAAAGCGCGCGUAGGUGGUUUGUUAAGUUGGAUGUGAAAUCCCCGGGCUCAACCUGGGAACUGCAUUCAAAACUGACAAGCUAGAGUAUGGUAGAGGGUGGUGGAAUUUCCUGUGUAGCGGUGAAAUGCGUAGAUAUAGGAAGGAACACCAGUGGCGAAGGCGACCACCUGGACUGAUACUGACACUGAGGUGCGAAAGCGGGGGGAGCAAACAGGAUUAGAUACCCUGGUAGUCCACGCCGUAAACGAUGCCAACUAGCCGUUGGGAGCCUUGAGCUCUUAGUGGCGCAGCUAACGCAUUAAGUUGACCGCCUGGGGAGUACGACCGCAAGGUUAAAACUCAAAUGAAUUGACGGGGGCCCGCACAAGCGGUGGAGCAUGUGGUUUAAUUCGAAGCAACGCGAAGAACCUUACCAGGCCUUGACAUCCAAUGAACUUUCCAGAGAUGGAUUGGUGCCUUCGGGAACAUUGAGACAGGUGCUGCAUGGCUGUCGUCAGCUCGUGUCGUGAGAUGUUGGGUUAAGUCCCGUAACGAGCGCAACCCUUGUCCUUAGUUACCAGCACGUCAUGGUGGGCACUCUGAGGAGACUGCCGGUGACAAACCGGAGGAAGGUGGGGAUGACGUCAAGUCAUCAUGGCCCUUACGGCCUGGGCUACACACGUACUACAAUGGUCGGUACAGAGGGUUGCCAAGCCGCGAGGUGGAGCUAAUCCCACAAAACCGAUCGUAGUCCGGAUCGCAGUCUGCAACUCGACUGCGUGAAGUCGGAAUCGCUAGUAAUCGCGAAUCAGAAUGUCGCGGUGAAUACGUUCCCGGGCCUUGUACACACCGCCCGUCACACCAUGGGAGUGGGUUGCCCAGAAGUAGCUAGUCUAACCUUCGGGAGGACGGUUACCACGGAGAUU